GUGUCAGCAGCCGCGGUAAGACGGAGGGGGCUAGCGUUGUUCGGAAUUACUGGGCGUAAAGCGGGCGUAGGCGGCCGGCUAAGUCGGAUGUGAAAUCCCGGGGCUCAACUCCGGAACUGCAUUCGAUACUGGUCGGCUAGAGUUCGAGAGGGGGAUGCGGAAUUCCGCGUGUAGCAGUGAAAUGCGUAGAUAUGCGGAGGAACACCUGAGGCGAAGGCGGCAUCCUGGAUCGACACUGACGCUGAGGCCCGAAAGCGUGGGGAGCAAACAGGAUUAGAUACCCUGGUAGUCCACGCCCUAAACGAUGUCUACUAGCCGUUGCGGGUAUCGACCCCUGCAGUGGCGCAGCUAACGCGAUAAGUAGACCGCCUGGGGAGUACGGCCGCAAGGUUAAAACUUAAAGGAAUUGACGGGG
rnacentral:rRNA from 1 species